CUGUGGACUAACCACUUGUUGCCUCGGCGGAUCAGCCCGCUCCCGGUAAAACGGGUCGGCCCGCCAGAGGACCCCUAAAACUCUGUUUCUAUAUGUAACUUCUGAGUAAAACCAUAAAUAAAUCAAAACUUUCAACAACGGAUCUCUUGGUUCUGGCAUCGAUGAAGAACGCAGCAAAAUGCGAUAAGUAAUGUGAAUUGCAGAAUUCAGUGAAUCAUCGAAUCUUUGAACGCACAUUGCGCCCGCCAGUAUUCUGGCGGGCAUGCCUGUUCGAGCGUCAUUUCAACCCUCAAGCACAGCUUGGUGUUGGGACUCGCGUUAAUUCGCGUUCCUCAAAUUGAUUGGCGGUCACGUCGAGCUUCCAUAGCGUAGUAGUAAAACCCUCGUUACUGGUAAUCGUCGCGGCCACGCCGUUAAACCCCAACUUCUGAAUGUUGACCUCGGAUCAGGUAGGAAUACCCGCUGAACUUAAGCAUAUCA
rnacentral:rRNA from 1 species